rnacentral:lncRNA from 1 species
AUGUUUGGGUGAUGACAACAGAUGAUACACAAAUGCCAACUAGCUAGAAUUGGACUAAACAAAUUAAUGUCAAACCUCCUGAUGGAUGGAUCUGUGGACAUCCCUAUGGAGUAUGGAGCUUGGGAUAAUCAGUUUGUGUUUUUUUUUUUCAAAGGUCAACCCGCUUCUUAUUUUAUAUAAAACAAUGUCAUUCUAAAAAUAAAUAUUUAUAUCUUAUAUUUAAUUAGAGACUUGCGUUGGCUGACAAAAGUUUCUGGAUCCGCCACUAGCACCAACCACUUAAACCUUAACCCAAAGAUUUACCAAGCCGAGAAAAUCAUCCUCCAACCUCCCAAGGUUACCGGGACACUCUAAACCACCUAUUGUAACAAAUAAACAUUGAUUCAAUAGUUGGAACUCAUAUAAAUAGAAAAUCAAAGAUGUUUGUAACUCUCUAAACCUAAUUAAACAUGUUCAAUCGAUCACCCAUGCUACAAAUUACAUAUCAAAUUGUUCGUAUUGACGAGCACUGAUAAUGGAACAAACUUUUUCUCUAAGAGAGGCCGGGCUUGCUACUACACACCGCCACAAGCGGCUGCAUGUGGGCCUCAUGCGCCGCCUCCAAAAACUUCGAAUUGUUACACCAAACAUGAAGAUCAAGGCAAAAUAAGCAACUUUUAUACUUCUAACUCGAUUUGACUCCGCAAAAAUUGGUAAGAAAUGUUGUCAGAUCAGAACCUAUCACAACAACUCUACACUUCAAAUUGAUUCAAGACUUGUAGAGCUAAAAAAUGAGGUGGAGAGCAACAAAACACAGUUAGGUUUGAACCUUGGAGUCGCCGAAAUCAACUAGAGCUACACUAACAGCAAAGGCAGCCACUUUCGGCCUUGUUGUGCCUCAUACGACGGUUAUUGGGGUUGAAGACCAUUACAAAAAUGUAGAGAGAGAAAUAGAGAGAUGAAGAUUUUGAUAUAUGCCACGAGGCCUAUUGUCGCCGGACUACGGAGAACGAUGCCGAAGAAGAAAUGGGUCGAGUGUGGCGACAGAAAAGAGGAGAGAGAAAGUCUCUUAACAUUUAGGGAGAUUAGGGUUUUCUGAUCCAUCUUUCUAUUUAUACCCCUUACAAAAUUGAAAAAUAACUUCUUAUGACUGUAACUUCUCAAUAAGGUAUUUGUUUUACGCGUGCCGUGUGUCUACGAAUUUUGCAUCGCCGAGAUCUACAAGUUUGGUGAAGAAAGUUUUCUGAAAUACUUAACGAAUAAAAAAAAUCAACUUUUGGGUGCACAUGAAAAUGAAAUGCUUUUGAUAAUUUAAACUUCUGAAUACUUCUACUUCAGAGUCUGAAACAAACAUUCCCACAAAUCAAACUUAUAUUAAUUCCGAGAAUAAAAUUACGCUACUAGAAUAAAGGACUUAGGUGACAAACAAGUUUCGUCGCCUAAGUGCUCAUUUUCGUCGCUUAAGUUCUCACGCGACGAAAGCUUCGUCGCUUAAUAGUCGUGGCCAGAGCAUGAAGGCGUAAGAACUUAGGCAACGAAUAAAAAAGAAAUGGUCGCCUAAAUGGAAACUUAGGCGACUAUUUAUUCAUCAUUGCAUAAGUCUAAGGUGAGGAAGACAAAUACAUUCAGGUGUCAAAAAAUUAUUAAAAAUCUAAUUAUUACUGAUAUAUACACACAGACCCGUACCUGAAUAGACACUACCAGAACAAGCACUUUAGCCGACGAAAAAUUUUCGUCGGCCUGUUAGCAUAAUUCGUCGGCUAAGAUUUCGUCGGGAAAAGGUCGUCUGUGAUGACUUUAGCCGACGAAAAAAAAAAUUUCGUCGGCUAUAGUCCCGCAGUUUAGCCGACGAAAAACAUGUCGUCGGUUUUUUUCCCAGACUUUAGCCGACGAAACAAUUAAGAUAUUCGUCGGCUAAAGUCUGUAAUAAAAAAAUUUUUUCCAGACUAUAGUCGACGAAAUAUAGUAUGUUUCAUCGGCUAAACCUUAUAAAAAAAUUUAAAAAAAUAACUAUAGCCGACGAAAUAUAGUCUGUUUCGUCGGCUAAAC